UCCUUCGUGGUGUAUUGGUCAGCACGCUCGACGCGUAACCGAGUGGUCCGUGGUUCGAAUCCCGGCGAAGGCG
rfam:Stegodyphus mimosarum contig15006, whole genome shotgun sequence.